CGUCUAUAUACGCAUAGCAUAUCAAUAAGCGGAGGAAAAGAAACUAACUAGGAUUCCCUCAGUAACGGCGAGUGAAGCGGGAAGAGCUCAAAUUUGAAAUCUUCAAGGUUUUACCUUGACGAAUUGUAGUUUAAAGAAGUGUUUUCUGUUGGAGUUUUGGUAAAAGUUCUUUGGAAAAGGACAUCAUAGAGGGUGAGAAUCCCGUAUUUGACCAUUAUCUCCAGCUUUGUGAUACACUUUCAAAGAGUCGGAUUGUUUGGGAAUGCAGUCCAAAAUGGGUGGUAAAUUUCAUCUAAAGCUAAAUAUUGGCGAGAGACCGAUAGCGAACAAGUACCGUGAGGGAAAGAUGAAAAGAACUUUGAAAAGAGAGUUAAACAGUACGUGAAAUUGUCAAAAGGGAAGCGUUUGACACCAGUGUUGUUUUCUCGAAAAUCAAUUAAAAAAGGCCGGAUUUUGUGUUGUAUUGACUUUAUCAGCUUUCUGCACUCUUUUCUUGUCUUUUUUAAUGCACCUUUCGUUUAACAAGUCAACAUCAAUUUCUUUUGUUGUAAAAGGGUCAUUGGAAGGUGGCUUUCUUUUCGGAGAAAGUGUUUAUAGCCUUUGGCCUCUGCAAUCGGAGAGAUUGAGGUCUGCAGCGUAGAUCCUUCGGGGUUAGAUACAUUUGUGCUAAGUUAUAGCCUUUCAUAGACAACUUGUUGACUAUGAUCAGUCAUGUAGCUUACUCGCUUAUGCUAUUUUACCUACGCUUAGGAUGUUGAAGUCAUCGUAUCGCGC
rnacentral:rRNA from 1 species